rnacentral:rRNA from 1 species
UAGGGAAUCUUCGGCAAUGGACGAAAGUCUGACCGAGCAACGCCGCGUGAGUGAAGAAGGUUUUCGGAUCGUAAAACUCUGUUGUUAGAGAAGAACAAGGACGUUAGUAACUGAACGUCCCCUGACGGUAUCUAACCAGAAAGCGACGGCUAACUACGUGCCAGCAGCCGCGGUAAUACGUAGGUGGCAAGCGUUGUCCGGAUUUAUUGGGCGUAAAGCGAGCGCAGGCGGUUUCUUAAGUCUGAUGUGAAAGCCCCCGGCUCAACCGGGGAGGGUCAUUGGAAACUGGGAGACUUGAGUGCAGAAGAGGAGAGUGGAAUUCCAUGUGUAGCGGUGAAAUGCGUAGAUAUAUGGAGGAACACCAGUGGCGAAGGCGGCUCGCUGGUCUGUAACUGACGCUGAGGCUAGAAAGCGUGGGGAGCAAACAGG